rnacentral:lncRNA from 1 species
AAAUUGGAAAUUUCGUACCUUGCUCUUCUCGGACCAGGACUCCUGUUACCCCUAUCUCCGAUAAUACCAAUUACUGGGAUAUUUCUUUGUCUGUUUCAGUGUGCGAAGCAGUAGUGGGCUCAAUAAAUACUGGUUGAGUUCUUCCAAGGCCCGUUGGCACUCUGGGGUCCAUGAUAAGUUAUUCUUCUUCUUUUUCAGUAGUGAUAAGAAUUCGGUGGCUCUUAUCAAAGAACCUCGAGAUGAAUCGCCCUAGGGAGUCUAUGCAUCUGGUUAAACUUUGCACGACCUUCGCGUUGUCCACAACCAUGAUAUCCCGAUGGCUUUGAUCUUGUCGGGGUUGAUAUCGAUUCCCCGGUUAAAUACCAUGAUUCCGAGGAAUUUAACUUAUCCGACUCCAAAUGCACAUUUCUCUAGGUUUAGCUUCAUAUUGUACUUCUUUGAUGUGUUGAAAUUUCCUAUAAAUAUUUUAAAUGGUCCUCUGC